AACAGUUACACGCCUUGAUCAUGAACAAAUGUGUGCUUGUGUUGGUGGCACUGGUGCUACUAUCCGGAAUGACAAUGAUCUGUGAAGGAAAUAGAGCUUGGAGAUCAUACUAUAAUCCAUCAUCUCGAUCACGAUUCCGAAAUUUCAGAUUCAAUCGAUCUAGACAGUUCAGUAGAUUUGGACCUCGUUCUCGAUCUACAGGAGGAUGGGCUAGUCAGUUUUCAAAGCGCCGUUGACUAAAUAAGGUCCAUCCCGAUUGAAGGAAAGGUGUUUUUAAUUGUUAUCCAUUUUUUUUUAUUUUUGUAAUAAAAUGAUUUUUUCUA